UACGUAGGGUGCGAGCGUUAAUCGGAAUUACUGGGCGUAAGGCGUGCGCAGGCGGUUUUGUAAGACAGAUGUGAACUCCCCGGGCUUAACCUGGGAACUGCAUUUGUGACUGCAAGACUAGAGUGCGGCAGAGGGGGGUAGAAUUCCACGUGUAGCAGUGAAAUGCGUAGAUAUGUGGAGGAAGAACGAUGGCGAAGGCAGCACCCUGGGUCGACAGUGACGCUCAUGCACGAAAGCGUGGGGAGGAAACAGG
rnacentral:rRNA from 1 species